UACAGAGGGUGCAAGCGUUGUUCGGAAUCAUUGGGCGUAAAGGGCGCGUAGGCGGCUUGACAAGUCAAAGGUGAAAUCCCGCGGCUCAACUGAGGAACUGCCUUUGAAACUGUCUGGCUUGAGGCCGGGAGGGGGUAGCGGAAUUCCCAGUGUAGCGGUGAAAUGCGUAGAUAUUGGGAGGAACACCAGUGGCGAAGGCGGCUACCUGGACCGGUUCUGACGCUGAUGCGCGAAAGCGUGGGUAGCAAACAGG
rnacentral:rRNA from 1 species